UACGGAGGGUGCAAGCGUUAUCCGGAUUCACUGGGUUUAAAGGGUGCGUAGGUGGGCAGUUAAGUCAGUGGUGAAAUCUCCGGGCUUAACCCGGAAACUGCCAUUGAUACUAUCUGUCUUGAAUAUCCUGGAGGUGAGCGGAAUAUGUCAUGUAGCGGUGAAAUGCUUAGAUAUGACAUAGAACACCGAUUGCGAAGGCAGCUCGCUACGGGAUUAUUGACACUGAGGCACGAAAGCGUGGGGAUCAAACAGGAUUAGAAACCCUGGUAGUCC
rnacentral:rRNA from 1 species